CAUUGUAAUCAAAAUAGAGCUUUGAACGGAAUUAUACGUGUGAUAUACGAUUAGAUAUAAAAAUACUAUUAUAUUUUUAGUUACAACAAGGAAAAUGGUUUUAAAUAUAUCGGUCCAAUUUAAAUAUUAAGUACUAUAAUAAAUAGGAUUAAUCAUAAUUGUUAUAGGAAAUUUUUGUUAGAUUAUAUUCUUCUAACCUCUACAACGUGAAAGCUGUUGACUUGGUAAUUAAAACAAAACGUUAUUUUGCUAUAAUUACAGGUUAUGUUUCCAACAACGGGAUUGGUGGAGAGCGCUGAUCAUCCAAUGGCAUCAUCGUUGAGUUUUAUAAACUUCGAUGUAUCGCCGCAUUAUCAUUAUUUUUUAUUUAUCGAGAAAAUAAACAUUUGUUAUUAAU